CAGCAGCCGCGGUAAUACGUAGGGUGCGAGCGUUAAUCGGAAUUACUGGGCGUAAAGCGUGCGCAGGCGGUUGUGUAAGACAGGUGUGAAAUCCCCGGGCUUAACCUGGGAACUGCGCUUGUGACUGCACAGCUAGAGUAUGGCAGAGGGGGGUGGAAUUCCACGUGUAGCAGUGAAAUGCGCAGAGAUGUGGAGGAACACCGAUGGCGAAGGCAGCCCCCUGGGCCAAUACUGACGCUCAUGCACGAAAGCGUGGGGAGCAAACAGGAUUAGAUACCCCAGAGUCCCUGUCUCUUAUACA
rnacentral:rRNA from 1 species